rnacentral:rRNA from 1 species
UNCACGUUCUCCGUGCCGUAGCUAACGCAUUAAGUACCCCGCCUGGGGAGUACGGCCGCAAGGCUAAAACUCAAAGGAAUUGACGGGGCCCCGCNCAAGCGGCGGAGCAUGCGGAUUAAUUCGAUGCAACGCGAAGAACCUUACCUGGGUUUGACAUAUGCCGGGAGCGUUCAGAGAUGGGCGUGCCUUUUUGGUCGGUUUACAGGUGGUGCAUGGCUGUCGUCAGCUCGUGUCGUGAGAUGUUGGGUUAAGUCCCGCAACGAGCGCAACCCUCGUCCAAUGUUGCCAGCGGGUUAUGCCGGGGACUCAUUGGAGACCGCCGGGGUCAACUCGGAGGAAGGUGGGGAUGACGUCAAGUCAUCAUGCCCCUUAUGUCCAGGGCUUCACGCAUGCUACAAUGGCCGGUACAGUGAGCUGCGAGCCUGUGAGGGUGAGCGAAUCUCUAAAAGCCGGUCUCAGUUCGGAUUGGGGUCUGCAACUCGACCCCAUGAAGUCGGAGUCGCUAGUAAUCGCAGAUCAGCAACGCUGCGGUGAAUACGUUCCCGGGGCUUGUACAC